GUUGUUGUCAGAUUUAUUAUCUACCCAAAUAUUAUAAUUAAGGGAUUGGUUGUCCUUGAUAAAUGAAAACCAAUUUCCGUAGGGGUAAAGUGAUGUAAUGAGGGAAAUCAUUCAUUUAGCAUUUAUGACAGUACUUAUGGAAAUUGGUGGACUGGAAAACCGAAUUGGUUUUCAUCUUAUCAAGAUGUUAAGUUAGCCACUUGAAGUUGAGAUUGUCUAUGAUCAAGUGUAUGUACGUAAGUACGUAACUGUAACCAAGUGCGCAGUUGCAUAAGCUGAAACUGCUCUGUUCGAGACGAGUACGGCAACGCUGAGGGGAAACGAAUGUCUCUCCCCUUAUAUUAAUUUGAAAUGACGUAUUUCUCCCUUGUAAAAGGGAACCAGUAUAGGGGUCCUGUGUAAGAACCAGUAUAGGGGUCCAAUGUAAGAACCAGUAUAAGAAUCGGUGUUGGUUCUAACUGGUAUUGAAGGAGUACAGCUAGGAAUAAGCUGCUUUUACAAUGUAUCUACCUACUGUUAAGAAGAAAUAUUAUUAAAAAAACCCCGGGA